GAUGAACGCUGGCGGCGUGCUUAACACAUGCAAGUCGAACGAUGAAGCCCAGCUUGCUGGGUGGAUUAGUGGCGAACGGGUGAGUAACACGUGAGUAACCUGCCCUUAACUCUGGGAUAAGCCAGGGAAACUGGGUCUAAUACCGGAUAGGAGCGUCCACCGCAUGGUGGGUGUUGGAAAGAUUUAUCGGUUUUGGAUGGACUCGCGGCCUAUCAGCUUGUUGGUGAGGUAAUGGCUCACCAAGGCGAAGACGGGUAGCCGGCCUGAGAGGGUGACCGGCCACAAUGGGCCUGAGACACGGCCCAGACUCCUACGGGAGGCAGCAGUGGGGAAUAUUGCACAAUGGGCGCAAGCCUGAUGCAGCGACGCCGCGUGAGGGAUGACGGCCUUCGGGUUGUAAACCUCUUUCAGUAGGGAAGAAGCGAAAGUGACGGUACCUGAAGAAGAAGCACCGGCUAACUACGUG
rnacentral:rRNA from 1 species